AAAACGACUCUCGGCAACGGAUAUCUCGGCUCUCGCAUCGAUGAAGAACGUAGCGAAAUGCAAUACUUGGUGUGAAUUGCAGAAUCCUAACAACCAUCGAGUCUUUGAACGCAAGUUACGCCCCAAGCUUUCUGGCCGAGGGCACGUCUGCCUGGGUGUCACAA
rnacentral:rRNA from 1 species